rnacentral:rRNA from 1 species
AGAGUUUGAUCCUGGCUCAGAUUGAACGCUGGCGGCAGGCCUAACACAUGCAAGUCGAGCGGAAACGAGUUAUCUGAACCUUCGGGGGACGAUAACGGCGUCGAGCGGCGGACGGGUGAGUAAUGCCUAGGAAAUCGCCCUGAUGUGGGGGAUAACCAUUGGAAACGAUGGCUAAUACCGCAUAAUGCCUACGGGCCAAAGAGGGGGACCUUCGGGCCUCUCGCGUCAGGAUAUGCCUAGGUGGGAUUAGCUAGUUGGUGAGGUAAUGGCUCACCAAGGCGACGAUCCCUAGCUGGUCUGAGAGGAUGAUCAGCCACACUGGAACUGAGACACGGUCCAGACUCCUACGGGAGGCGACAGUGGGGAAUAUUGCACAAUGGGCGCAAGCCUGAUGCAGCCAUGCCGCGUGUGUGAAGAAGGCCUUCGGGUUGUAAAGCACUUUCAGUCGUGAGGAAGGUAGUGUAGUUAAUAGCUGCAUUAUUUGACGUUAGCGACAGAAGAAGCACCGGCUAACUCCGUGCCAGCAGCCGCGGUAAUACGGAGGGUGCGAGCGUUAAUCGGAAUUACUGGGCGUAAAGCGCAUGCAGGUGGUUUGUUAAGUCAGAUGUGAAAGCCCGGGGCUCAACCUCGGAAUAGCAUUUGAAACUGGCAGACUAGAGUACUGUAGAGGGGGGUAGAAUUUCAGGUGUAGCGGUGAAAUGCGUAGAGAUCUGAAGGAAUACCGGUGGCGAAGGCGGCCCCCUGGACAGAUACUGACACUCAGAUGCGAAAGCGUGGGGAGCAAACAGGAUUAGAUACCCUGGUAGUCCACGCCGUAAACGAUGUCUACUUGGAGGUUGUGGCCUUGAGCCGUGGCUUUCGGAGCUAACGCGUUAAGUAGACCGCCUGGGGAGUACGGUCGCAAGAUUAAAACUCAAAUGAAUUGACGGGGGCCCGCACAAGCGGUGGAGCAUGUGGUUUAAUUCGAUGCAACGCGAAGAACCUUACCUACUCUUGACAUCCAGAGAAUUUUCCAGAGAUGGAUUAGUGCCUUCGGGAACUCUGAGACAGGUGCUGCAUGGCUGUCGUCAGCUCGUGUUGUGAAAUGUUGGGUUAAGUCCCGCAACGAGCGCAACCCUUAUCCUUGUUUGCCAGCGAGUAAUGUCGGGGACUCCAGGGAGACUGCCGGUGAUAAACCGGAGGAAGGUGGGGACGACGUCAAGUCAUCAUGGCCCUUACGAGUAGGGCUACACACGUGCUACAAUGGCGCAUACAGAGGGCAGCAAGCUAGCGAUAGUGAGCGAAUCCCAAAAAGUGCGUCGUAGUCCGGAUUGGAGUCUGCAACUCGACUCCAUGAAGUCGGAAUCGCUAGUAAUCGUGGAUCAGAAUGCCACGGUGAAUACGUUCCCGGGCCUUGUACACACCGCCCGUCACACCAUAGGAGUGGGCUGCAAAAGAAGUAGGUAGUUUAACCUUCGGGAGGACGCUUACCACUUUGUGGUUCAUGACUGGGGUGAAGUCGUAACAAGGUAGCCGUA